GGUGUCGCCAAGUGGUAAGGCAUCGGACUCUGACUCCGACAUUUCGUAGGUUCGAAUCCUACCACC
rnacentral:tRNA from 2 species